rnacentral:rRNA from 1 species
UACGUAGGGUGCGAGCGUUGUCCGGAAUUACUGGGCGUAAAGAGCUCGUAGGUGGUUUGUCGCGUUGUCCGUGAAAACUCACAGCUUAACUGUGGGCGUGCGGGCGAUACGGGCAGACUGGAGUACUGCAGGGGAGACUGGAAUUCCUGGUGUAGCGGUGGAAUGCGCAGAUAUCAGGAGGAACACCGGUGGCGAAGGCGGGUCUCUGGGCAGAAACUGACGCUGAGGAGCGAAAGCGUGGGGAGCGAACAGG